UGGCGAACGGGUGAGUAACACGUGGGUGAUCUGCCCUGCACUCUGGGAUAAGCCUGGGAAACUGGGUCUAAUACCGGAUAGGACCAUGCUUUAGUGUGUGUGGUGGAAAGUUUUUUCGGUGUAGGAUGAGCCCGCGGCCUAUCAGCUUGUCGGUGGGGUAAUGGCCUACCAAGGCGGCGACGGGUAGCCGGACUGAGAGGUUGGUCGGCCACAUUGGGACUGAGAUACGGCCCAG
rnacentral:rRNA from 1 species